UUAUGAAUAAGGAUCGGCUAACUCCGUGCCAGCAGCCGCGGUAAUACGGAGGAUCCGAGCGUUAUCCGGAUUUAUUGGGUUUAAAGGGAGCGUAGGUGGACUGGUAAGUCAGUUGUGAAAGUUUGCGGCUCAACCGUAAAAUUGCAGUUGAUACUGUCAGUCUUGAGUACAGUAGAGGUGGGCGGAAUUCGUGGUGUAGCGGUGAAAUGCUUAGAUAUCACGAAGAACUCCGAUUGCGAAGGCAGCUCACUGGACUGCAACUGACACUGAUGCUCGAAAGUGUGGGUAUCAAACAGGAUUAGAUACCCUGGUAGUCCACACAGUAAACGAUGAAUACUCGCUGUUUGCGAUAUACAGUAAGCGGCCAAGCGAAAGCAUUAAGUAUUCCACCUGGGGAGUACGCCGGCAACGGUGAAACUCAAAGGAAUUGACGGGGGCCCGCACAAGCGGAGGAACAUGUGGUUUAAUUCGAUGAUACGCGAGGAACCUUACCCGGGCUUAAAUUGCAGUGGAAUGAUGUGGAAACAUGUCAGUGAGCAAUCACCGCUGUGAAGGUGCUGCAUGGUUGUCGUCAGCUCGUGCCGUGAGGUGUCGGCUUAAGUGCCAUAACGAGCGCAACCCUUAUCUUCAGUUACUAACAGGUCAUGCUGAGGACUCUGGAGAGACUGCCGUCGUAAGAUGUGAGGAAGGUGGGGAUGACGUCAAAUCAGCACGGCCCUUACGUCCGGGGCUACACACGUGUUACAAUGGGGGGGUACAGAAGGCAGCUACCUGGCGACAGGAUGCUAAUCCCAAAAACCUCUCUCAGUUCGGAUCGAAGUCUGCAACCCGACUUCGUGAAGCUGGAUUCGCUAGUAAUCGCGCAUCAGCCACGGCGCGGUGAAUACGUUCCCGGGCCUUGUACACACCGCCCGUCAAGCCAUGGGAGCCGGGGGUACCUGAAGUACGUAACCGCAAGGAUCGUCCUAGGGUAAAACUGGUGACUGGGGCUAAGUCGUAACAAGGUAGCCGUACCGGAAGGUGCGGCUG
rnacentral:rRNA from 1 species